rnacentral:misc_RNA from 1 species
UUAAGUUCAGCGGGUAUCCCUACCUGAUCCGAGGUCAAGAGUUAAAAAAUGUCUUGAUGGAUGUCGUCGUAAUGAGUACAAAGCGCGGAUUGUGCUGCGCUCCGAAAUCUAUACGCCGGCUGCCAAUUGCUUUAAGGCGAGUCCGCGCACAAAGGCGGGACAAACACCCAACACCAAGCAGAGCUUGAAGGUACAAAUGA